CCAACUUUUCGAAUCAGGGAAGCAUGAGAGCGGCGGCCCGCGUGAGGCGACCGCGGCCGCAACGGCCGCUGCCGGAGCCUGCGAGGCCAUCGAUUUCGCCGGCGGCGAGGUCCAAGACGAAGGAGACACCCGCUCCCCUAACCCUUCCUCUGAAGGCGUUCAAGUUCCGCCUGGCCAACGGCCCACCGCUGGCGUCCCCGGCGAAGGCCUUCAAGUCCUACGCCGAGACGUGCGCCUCCCUGCUCCGCCUUUGCCGCCAUACCGCCGCCGCACCCAGCAACCGACCUUCUUCCUCCUCGGUCUCCUCCGCCCUGCCGCUCGUCCUCUCGUUGCAUGCGCACGCCCUCCGCUCCGGCCUCGGCGCCGACUGCUCCGUUGCGUCGAACCUCCUCACUGGCUACGCCGCAUUCGCCCGCGCCGCGGAUCGCGACCGGGUCUUCGAUGACUGCGUUGCUUCCGGCGCGGCCUCCUCCUUCGUGUACGAUUUCAUGGUGUCGGAGCACGUAAAGGCCGGGGACAUCGCCUCCGCUCGCAAGCUGUUCGACGGAAUGCCCGAGCGGAGCGUCGUGUCUUACACAACCAUGGUGGACGCGCUCAAGAAGCGUGGGUCUGUGAGGGAUGCGGUUGAGCUGUAUGAGCGGUGCCCGCUUCACUCAGUUGCCUUCUUCACCGCUAUGAUUUCUGAGUUUGUACGCAACGAACUCUACAAAGAUGCACUCCCUGUGUUUCACAAGAUGCUAAGUUGCAGUGUGAGACCUAAUGUGGUUACACUGAUUUGUGUGAUCAAGGCUUGCGUGGGUGCAGGUGAAUUUGAUCUGGCCAUGGGUGUGGUGGGAUUGGCAAUCAAAUGGAACUUGUUUGAGAAGAGUAUUGAGGUACACAAUUCUUUGAUCACUCUGUAUCUAAGAAUGGGAGAUGCAGCUGCAGCACACAGGGUGUUUGAUGAGAUGCAGGUGAGGGAUGUUGUCUCAUGGACUGCAUUACUUGAUGUGUACGCUGAGUUGGGUGACCUCGAGGGAGCUUGACGGGUCCUUGAUGCAAUGCCUGAUAGAAAUGAGGUCUCGUGGGGUACUUUGAUUGCAAGGCAUGAGCAGAAAGGUGAUGCUGCAGAAGCAGUAAGGCUUUACAGUCAAAUGCUUGCUGACAGUUGUAGGCCAAACAUUUCAUGCUUCUCUAGUGUGCUCAGUGCUUGUGCUACCCUUCAAGACUUAAGAGAAGGAACUAAGAUCCAUGCCAAUGCCCUGAAGAUGGGUUCUACCAGCAAUUUGUUUGUAUCCAGAUCUUUGAUUGACAUGUACUGCAAAUGCAAGCAGUGCACAGAUGCUCAAAGGAUAUUUGAUUCCCUCCCACAAAAGAACAUAGUAUGCUGGAACUCUCUUAUUUCAGGUUAUAACUGAAACGGCAAAAUGGUGGAGGCACAUGAGCUCUUCAAGAAGAUGCCUGCAAGGAACGCAGCUUCAUGGAACACAAUGAUUUCUGGUUACACAGAAAAUCGACGAUUUGUUGAUGCACUAAAACUUUUCAAUGCAAUGUUGGCUUCAGGGCAGAUUCCAGGAGAAAUUACACUGUCAAGUGUUCUUCUUGCAUGCACAAACUUGUGCUCUUUAGAGAUGGGCAAGAUGGUUCAUGCUAAGAUUGUCAAGCUUGGAAUUGAAGAUAACAUCUUUAAGGGAACUGCACUCAAUGACAUGUAUGCCAAGUCAGGGGAUUUGGACAGCUCCAAGAGGAUAUUUUAUCAAAUGCCUGAAAAAAAUAGUAUCACUUGGACUGCCAUGGUUCAGGGACUUGCUGAAAAUGGCUUUGCAGAAGAGUCUAUUUUGUUGUUCGAGAAUAUGAUGGCAUAUGGAAUAUCACCGAAUGAGCAUACAUUUUUAGCUAUUCUAUUUGCUUGUUCCACAGUGGUUUGGUGGAACAAGCCAAACAUUAUUUUGAAACAAUGCAAGCCUAUGGCAUCCCACCUAAACAGAAGCACUACACGUGCAUGGUUGAUGUCCUAGCUCGAGCCGGUCGUUUGACAGAAGCCGAAGAGCUUCUCAUGAAGGUUCCAAGUAACUUUGAAGCAAGUGCAUGGUCAGCUCUUCUGAGUGCUUGCAACACUUACAGCAACAAGGAGAUUGGUGAGAGGGCAGCAAUUAAACUUCAUGAGUUGGAGAAGGAUAAUACAGCGGGCUAUGUGCUACUAUCGAACAUGUAUGCAUCUUGUGGUAAAUGGAAAGAUGCUGCUGAGAUGAGGAUACUGAUGAAAGGAGCUAGCCUUAAGAAAGAUGGUGGGUGCAGCUGGUUACAAUUGAAGGGACAAUAUCAUGCCUUCUUUUCUUGGGAAGCAAAGCAUCCAUUAUCAUUGGAAAUUUAUGAAAUCUUGGAUCUAGUAAUGUGGGAAUUGACUAUUUGAAUUUAUUUUGGUGGUUUGCUACCAAUAGGAACAAUUAUGAGAAAAUAUGAUUCCUGUGUAUUCUCCAGUUUCAUGAAGGCAAAGUAGCAGCUUGGAGUUGUUUAUGGAUAAUUAUUGGAAGGGAAAUAAGUCUGACUUCCCAAAUGAUGGUUACCAUGAGUUUUGAUGCUAUGAGUUACACAAGUAAUCAAGGAUAUCUGCUUCUUAACAAUCACCAGCAACUUCUGGGUAUAUCUUGGUUCAUGAAUGUUCUAGGAAACCUGAAGCUUUUGAUACUGCAUUAUGGUUUACAUGAUUUGAUGUAAAACCAGCUUCAAAAAACAACAGAGUAAAUGCAACACUUCUUUCCAAAAAUGUGUAUAAAGUACCAGACCUUUCCUGGGCACUUCUCCUAAACCCCCAACUGAAGGUUGCAGUGGUGAUUUUCCAGAGGAUGUAAAUAUACUGCAGUUUGCAUUUAAUGAAUAUUCUAAGAAUAGCUUCCUGCAAUGGGCUGGCUUAACUGGCAUACGAAGCUGGUUUGGUGCUAUGAAUCCCUUUUGAUGUGGAUAAAAAACCUAUGAAUGUUUCCAGCAUUUCAUUUGGACAAGAAGGAAUUUCCAAUAAAGUUUGGGCAAAGCAUCAUCAUGUACUACGAAAUUCAGGUGCACUUUGUCAUCAUUAUGCUGACUAUGCAUUUUGCUGUCUCAUGAAUCAUGGGUGAUAAAGUGAAUGCUUUUAUGCAAGUACUGCUAUCUGCUUUCAUUUAGCGCAUUGUUUUGGUAUAGUUGAGCGUGUAAAAGAUGGUUCAUAGAUUGUUGGUUGAUUAAUGCAUCCAGUUUGAAUGCACUUCUCAUCUACUACUAAGUUGAGGGCGUGGAAACAAUCAAAACCAACUGUUUAAGGAAACCAACUGUCGUUAUCUAAUAUAUGCGUGUGACUUGUGGUGCACCAUAACCACAGACGGAAGUCAAACAUAAUUUCAUAGGCUAAUGUUCACUCAUCUUCUUCUUCUUGAAGACUGACCAAAUAAGUCUUGAUGCUUCUGAUACACUCAGUUGUAUGCUCUUUGCCCACAUGCCCACAUGGGAUCAUCUCUGGGACCGCGCAGAUUCUUCGAUUUCUGAAUGGCCAUCAUCAGUUACUAAAAACUCAGAUGCACAUGUGUUUCAACAGUCUGUCAGUUAGUGUCCUGUUUCGCUGAAGCAACGACUGAACUGCAGGUUAACAUGGUCGGUGGCAGGUGACCCAUCAGCCGCCCGGCCCUGGUGUGUACGCGCGGGCGCAGCUUGACUCUCACCGCCCGUCCGACUCGUCUGGCCGGACGCGUCAGCGGCUCGGUGGUUCACGUCGGCGGGCCGGCUCUUUCUUCCGAACCUUCUCGCCACUCUGCCCAUCCGACGGACGCGCAAUCAGCGUCGGGCCAAAGCCAAAGGUCAUAGCACCAUCACUGAAUCGCAAAACGCGUCGCCUUCAGGAGUCAGAGAGUGUUGAACUCGCCUUGCCGGUGGUCUGGUCGUAGUCGGCGGCGGCGAUGGAGCCCCUGGAGGCGGCGAUAACGAUCAUCUUCAACGCUCUGCUGCUGGUGUUCAUGGUGAAGCUCUUCUUCGCCAUGUUCCAGAUGAAGCUCGUCGUCAUCCUCUUCUACCUCGUCGUCCUCCUCUUCGCCAUGGCCUUCUCUGGCCGGGCACCCAGUAGCUUCUAGUAGCUCGUAGCAGGGAUAGCAGGUGGCAAAAUCUUUCUUUCCCCUCUUCUGUUCUUCUCUUUUGGAAAAGAUUUGGUAGAGUUUUGCAGAGCUACGUCUUUUGGGAAACUCGAUCGUCUCGAUUUUUGGUUAAAGACUUGGUUUUCUCCGAGAAAGUAUGCAUGAUCCGAGGUGCAAAUUGCGUAAGCUUGAAGAAACCCUAAUGUUAGUCAAUCAAGAGCUUCUGCUACAGUAUCAUACUUCUAUUUCUAUGCA